rnacentral:rRNA from 1 species
UACGAAGGGGGCUAGCGUUGUUCGGAAUUACUGGGCGUAAAGGGCGCGUAGGCUGUGCUGUAAGUCAGGCGUGAAAUCCCCGGGCUCAACCUGGGAAUGGCAUUGGAUACUGGCUCGCUAGAGUGCGGUAGAGGGUGGUGGAAUUCCCGGUGUAGCAGUGAAAUGCGUAGAGAUCGGGAGGAACAUCUGUGGCGAAGGCGGCCACCUGGACCAACACUGACACUGAGGCACGAAAGCGUGGGGAGCAAACAGG